UACGUAGGGGGCAAGCGUUGUCCGGAUUUAUUGGGCGUAAAGAGCGUGUAGGCGGUUUGGUAGGUCCGCUGUGAAAACUCGAGGCUCAACCUCAAGACGCCGGUGGAAACCAUCAGACUAGAGUCCGGAAGAGGAGAGUGGAAUUCCUGGUGUAGCGGUGAAAUGCGCAGAUAUCAGGAAGAACACCCGUGGCUAAGGCGGCUCUCUAGUACGGUACUGACGCUGAGACGCGAAAGCGUGGGGAGCGAACAGG
rnacentral:rRNA from 1 species